GCCUCCGUAGCUCAGGGGAUAGAGCACCGCUCUCCUAAAGCGGGUGUCGCAGGUUCGAAUCCUGCCGGGGGCACCG
rnacentral:tRNA from 6 species